UACGGGGGGGGCAAGCGUUGUUCGGAAUUACUGGGCGUAAAGGGCUCGUAGGCGGCCAACUAAGUCAUACGUGAAAUCCCUCGGCUUAACCGGGGAACUGCGUCUGAUACUGGAUGGCUUGAGAUUGGGAGAGGGAUGCGGAAUUCCAGGUGUAGCGGUGAAAUGCGUAGAUAUCUGGAGGAACACCGGUGGCGAAGGCGGCAUCCUGGACCAACACUGACGCUGAGGAGCGACAGCGCGGGGAGCAAACAGG
rnacentral:rRNA from 1 species